GUAUCCAAUAUUCAACCCGCAGUUCUCAAGCACACAGAAGCACGGGCUCUCCUCACCUCCCGAUCCCAGCCGCCAGGAGGUGACCGAUCCCGGCGACGCUCGAUCCGGUGCUACGAGCUAGGGUUCGAUCCGCCACCUCUCCGGCCUCCCCGUCAGUGGCGCACCGACGCUCCGGCGACGUGGUGCCAUGCCACUCCUCUCUCCUCAAGGCGCCACCAUCCCGAGAUGCGCUGAUCUGGUGCCGCUGGAGGUGAUCGCCGUUGUCGACCUGGCAGGCUCAACAGUCACCGCUGGAGCUCCACAUCCCCAAGACGAUGUGGAAGAAGCCCCAAUCGCGGGCAAGUGCCGCCACCCCAACGGCACCAAUGGGGUCUGGGAGGUAGAUGUCAGGGACAGUGGGGAUGACGGACAAUCCACAUACGCCAGUCGAAGGCCUCGAGAAGGAUGGCUCAGUCGGACUCAAGAGCAGCUGGACUAGAGGACACCAUCGUCUUCACAUCGCAUAUGUCUAUUGAAUUUGAUGAGUGAAGGGCAUGGAGCCAAGAAGGUUGGAUCAUGCGGUUGUUAGAAUCCUCGCAGUGUGUUGAACCUCCCAAUGGAGCUGCUGUGUUCGGCAAUGGCCAUGUGACGGACAGAGCGAGAGGCACAUCAUCAUGGGCUGACGCAACAAGGGAUGGUACCUGAGGCACAACCGCUACGGUGCUGAGAAGGAGGCGGCUGUAGCACCCAACAAAUGCUGGACUCAGCUUUGGUGCUCAAUUAGGGCGGCCACACACAUGACUCUGCCCAAGGUUCAACUGCAGUUGGCUCGGAUAAAAAGGAUUGCAACAUUGGUAGUACUGUUGAUAGGAUGGUUAGUUUUGGAAGGGGAAUGGUAGUAUGCGCAGAGAUUGAAAACAAGGCUACAGUGCAAACACUCUUGCUCAACCAAUUUAAGCUCAGUGUCAGCUCUUUGUGCUCUUUCCUUCUUGCAGAACCAAUGUUUCCUCAUGAGUCACCUUUGUUCCCGGUAUUAUAGUCAUGAAGAAGCUUUCCUUCACAUUUUAAUUUGCCUAACCAGCCCCAGAAGCAUCCAAUCUCGCCUCUGACGCAUUGCCGGAACCCCUUCCGCCGUCCGCACGUGCUCCACACUUCGCCGGAACUUCUUCUGCAGGUUUUCCAUUUGAGGCUAUGCGAUGAAGCUGAUAGAAUUGCUAGAAAUCAGAAGAUGAACAAUGGAAUAGUUAGUGACCAGUGAACCUUGAGCCCAUGGAAUAGCCCUUUAUGACAAAUAGCAGAACUCUGUUCUGUCUAGAUCUUUUGGUUGCCCAUCGUAUCGGGCAUGUGCAUUGCACAACAGCAUGCAAGGCAGUUGGGAAUCAAGUGCAUCAUCACGGUGACACAACUGAUCUACAACAAGAGAACCCAUCCAAAGUAAAAGAAAAUACAUAGUAUCCAAACCAUCAUAUCCUAAUUAAACCCCAAACAGAUGUUCUUGCCUUGAUCGAGGGUGUAAGCUACAGUAGUUUGCUUUUUCUUCUGAUAAGGCACUUGAUAUAUGUCAUAGUAUCGAUAGUAUGGUUCACACACUGGUGUACAAAAGAUGGAAACAACACUGUCAAACUUAACCAAAGGAAUAAAGGGCAUACUACAGUGUGAUGUGGUGACGCAGGACGCAUGCUGGACAUUUUGCUGAUGCCAUGCAUCAGUGAGAAACCUGCGCGUGCACCCCUCGCCUUCUUCUGUUCUAGGCCUCCCCGUCUUGCCUCACUCCUCUCCGGCAGUCAUUGAUUUCGACGGGAAAUAUGCAAGGAGGAUGGGGAAUAACUGCUUGUACGGGUUGUGGGCAUGCUCGGACCAGGAGGAGACAAAAGUUGUUGCGGCUGCCAUGCGCAAUGAAGGAUGGGUACGAUGGUCAGCGGGAUGGGAUGCAACGGCUCGCAGGGGCAGCGCCUUCGGCGGCAGGCGCUGGGGCAAUGAAUUCUACUUGUGCGUUGGAGUCAGUUGCAUGCUAACUGGACAAUGCGUUAGCUUGUUCUGUACUUACUCUGUAGCUACCAGUGAUCAAAGUUGGAAGCUCAAUGUAAGCUACACAAUUACCUUCUUUACUUGUGUUGGUUUUUCCAUGCGUGAUUCUUUGGGGCGUAGGAAUUUUACUAAAGCUAGCUCGAUUUCAACAAGAAUUUGAACAAUUCUCUGGUCUGGUCUGAAAGUUACAUAUUUGGGUAGCUAGGUUCAGUGAUUGAAAAUAUUGCAUGUUAUUAUUGGUGAAUAUAUGUUCAUGGACAAAUAAAAGUGGAAGAUCAUAGGGAAAUUUCCUAUCAAUUUUUAAUUUGUUACUCUGAUGUAUUCUAUUGUCGACAAAAUUAUAUAGUCAAACGAGGCAUGUAGCAUAGGUAUUCAGUCUAGAAUGAUAUUUUGGUGAGGAUAAUUAAUCAUGAAUUCUCUUGGGUUCUGUCCUGAUAUUUGGCAGUUGUAGAAUAUCGUAUCCAUUAUUUGUUUGAAAUAUGAUAUCUCCAUUGUUACUGUAGAAUAUCAUGCGAUUAUUUAUUUGAAAUAUGACAUCUUCAUUGUUACUGUAGAAUAUCAUGUCCAUUAUUUAUUUGAAAUAUGACAUCUCCAUUGUUACUACUGGAGCUGAAAAAUAUAUUUCACAACUACCUAAAUAAAUCUAUUUUAUCAUCUAUUACUGACUUUUUGAUUCCCAGGUCCAAAGAAAUAAGUUCUACAAGUGCAACCUUAUGUCUGUAUCAGGUGUACUGCUCUAAAUUGCUUCAGCGAUCAGGUGUCCUGCUAUAUGGACCUCCAGGCACUGGGAAGGUAGGUGUACUGAGUUUUAUACUUUGUCUGAAUUGAGUUUUCAUCCUCAUUUUUCGAAAGUUAGUUGUAUCUGACAACAAAGAUAAUACAUGCUAACUAGGAUGUUUUCUUUUGAAUUUUUAGACAUUACUUGUGAAAGCAGUAGCAACUGAGUGUUUAUUAAACUUUCUUAGCAUAAAAGGUCUAGAACUAACAAACAUGUAUGUUGGAGAGUCAGAGAGGAAUAUCAGGGACAUCUUUUAGAAGGCUAGAUCAGCACGCCCAUGAGUAAUUUUCUUCGAUGAGCUUGAUUCCCUUCCUCCUGCACGAGGGUCCUCUGCACAUUCUAGAGAUGUGAUGGAUAAAUGGUUUCUCAGCACAAAUGCCCGACGGAGAUGCAUAUGUUUGGCAUUCUAUCAGUAAACAUACACGUGCGCUGGCUUGCAGUACUUCAUUUUGUGAUUGUGUAGUAUCCACACCACUACUAAUGCUUAAGUCCGUUGCCUUGCCGUGUAAUUGUGUCAUAUGCACACCAAUACUAAUGCUCUAUGCUCUCGCCUGAGAGCACGUGUUGUGCUUUGUAUCAUCUAAAAAAUGUAAACUCUGUAAUUAGAAACAGACUUUAGCACUGUGAUCCAGUAUGUAUUGAGUAGUGGAUUAAUGUAUGUAUUUGGUGUGGUUUCAACUGC